CGUUAUGGUGGACUGGGCGAUGGGAUAGAAAUAUCCGCCGCUCUCUACUGCUAGCGGUACGCCAACGUCGUUCAGUCUGCCACCCUA
rnacentral:antisense_RNA from 1 species